CUCAAGGAAACGUCCGUUACUGGAGCCACAGAGCGGGAAAGAGGAAUAAGGCUAAAAUAGAGAUACAGGAUCAGUCUCAGGGAUUGAACCUGGAAACCCUAAUCCCUACAGAUACGGGGACCAGCUGGAUUUUUGAAACACCAUCCCUGCUUUCCCCCAACUCCUGGAAGUGGUGGAAACUGAGGGCUUCACAUCUAUGCUAACCUAAUGCUGCCUUGAAACAGAGAAAAGUGUCCAGCUUCAGAGUAUCCUCACUCCAAGUUUUCCUGUACCUACACACUCUGUUUCAUAGCUUUGCCCCAAAUAUCCAGGAUCCAAGACUGAAAGUGAGAUCUCUUGGUCUCCUUAUCGGACUGCAUUCUUGGAAGCAGCAGAUCAGAAGAGAAAUCAGUUUCUGGUCUCCACCACUUCAGCCUGAAGGUUCCAGUCAGGCAUCUAAAGGGGAAGUACAUCACUGGAGCCCCAUAAGAGAGAAUAUUGGGUGGAUGGGUGGAUUAAGCACCUCCAUCCUCACUUGUUUUCUCAGUUCUUGUCUCCUGAAGGGGCUUCUUAUAUCAGGCUCUCUUAUAUAAGGUUGUGUGUAAUGUGUAGUUAGCUGACUCUUUCAAGUGAACUUUGCUGGCUGUCCUACUUUUGGAGAUGUACAGAAUCCCCCUUAGAUCUGCUAUUACUAUCAGAGAAAACUGUUAAUGCAUCAAUAGUUUGUAUGGGUCUCAAAUAGGGAUGUUGUUUCCUGAAACUCUUUUGUCUUCUCUCAAAUUUCCUGAGAUGUUUUGCCCAAAAAGGAAACUCAAAUUUUAACUCAAAGCUCCAGAAGAUGGGAUAGGCAAUGUGGUGUCCUCCAGAUGUUGUUGGACUACAACCCUAUCAUCCCUGACCCUUAGCCAUGCUAAUAGAGGUAGAUAGGAGUUGUAUUUCAACAGCAUUUGAAGGGUACCAUGGUGGCUACCUCAGGUUUAAGAGAUACAGAGACAAUGUUAUGCGGUAUAAAAUGGGAUGACAAGCUUUUUAAAAAAUGUUAAUUCCUUGAGACGAUAUGCCACUGUAUAUUUAUUUCAGAGCUUGGGAGAUUAUUUUUAAAAAGGAAUAAAUUACAAUUCUGAAAGGAA